UACGGAGGGUGCGAGCGUUGUCCGGAAUCACUGGGCGUAAAGGGCGCGUAGGCGGCCUGAUAAGUAGGGGGUGAAAUCCUGCGGCUUAACCGCAGGGCUGCCUUCUAAACUGUCAGGCUAGAGCACAGUAGAGGCAGGUGGAAUUCCCGGUGUAGCGGUGGAAUGCGUAGAGAUCGGGAAGAACAUCAGUGGCGAAGGCGGCCUGCUGGGCUGUUGCUGACGCUCAUGCACGAAAGCGUGGGGAGCGAACAGG
rnacentral:rRNA from 1 species